rnacentral:rRNA from 1 species
AUUGAACGCUGGCGGCAGGCCUAACACAUGCAAGUCGAACGAGUGGCGGACGGGUGAGUAAUGUCUGGGAAACUGCCUGAUGGAGGGGGAUAACUACUGGAAACGGUAGAUAAUACCGCAUACCAUCAGAUGUGCCCAGAUGGGAUUAGCUUGUUGGUGGGGUAACGGCUCAAUAAGGCGACGAUCCCUAUCUGGUCUGAGAGGAUGACCACCCACACUGGAACUGAGACACGGUCCAGACUCCGACGGGAGGCAGCAGUGGUGAAUAUUGCACAAUGGGCGCAUGCCUGGUGCAGCCAUGCCGCGGGUAUGAAGAAGGCCUUCGGGUUGUAAAGUACUGUCAGCGGGUAGGCGUUACCCGCAGAAGAAGCACCGGCUAACUCCGUGCCAGCAGCCGCGGUAAUAC